rnacentral:tRNA from 1 species
UAGCUCAGUUGGUAGAGUGCUUGCCUAGCAUGCAGAAGGCCCUGGGUUCAAUCCCCAG